CGGAAGUAGCUCAGCGGUAGAGCGUCUCCUUGCCAAGGAGAAGGUCGCGGGUUCAAAUCCCGUCUUCCG
rnacentral:tRNA from 1 species